UGCAAGUGUGGCAUGGAUUUGAUCCU
rnacentral:piRNA from 1 species